GCUCAGGACGAACGCUGGCGGCGUGCCUAAUACAUGCAAGUCGAACGCGUUUCCGUUAUUGAUUUUAGGUGCUUGCAUUUGAAUGAUUUAACACGAAACGAGUGGCGAACUGGUGAGUAACACGUGGGUAACCUGCCCUUGAAGUAGGGGAUAACACUUGGAAACAGGUGCUAAUACCGUAUAACAACCAAAACCACAUGGUUUUGGUUUAAAAGAUGGCUUCGGCUAUCACUUUAGGAUGGACCCGCGGCGUAUUAGCUUGUUGGUAAGGUAAUGGCCUACCAAGGCAAUGAUACGUAGCCGACCUGAGAGGGUAAUCGGCCACAUUGGGACUGAGACACGGCCCAAACUCCUACGGGAGGCAGCAGUAGGGAAUCUUCCACAAUGGACGAAAGUCUGAUGGAGCAACGCCGCGUGAGUGAUGAAGGGUUUCGGCUCGUAAAACUCUGUUGUUGGAGAAGAACAGGUGUCAGAGUAACUGUUGACAUCUUGACGGUAUCCAACCAGAAAGCCACGGCUAACUACGUGCCAGCAGCCGCGGUAAUACGUAGGUGGCAAGCGUUGUCCGGAUUUAUUGGGCGUAAAGCGAGCGCAGGCGGUUUCUUAGGUCUGAUGUGAAAGCUUCGGCUUAACCGGAGAAGUGCAU
rnacentral:rRNA from 2 species